rnacentral:rRNA from 1 species
GACAGAGGGGGCAAGCGUUGCUCGGAAUUACUGGGCGUAAAGGGCGCGUAGGCGGGAUGGCAAGUCGGUCGUGAAAUCCCUCGGCUCAACUGAGGAUCGUCGAUCGAUACUGCUGUUCUUGAGGAUUGCAGAGGAGACUGGAAUUCCCGGUGUAGCGGUGAAAUGUGUAGAGAUCGGGAGGAGCACCGGUGGCGAAGGCGGCAUCCUGGACCGGCAUUGACGCUGAGGAGCGAAAGCCAGGGGAGCAAACGGG